rnacentral:rRNA from 2 species
GAUUGAACGCUGGCGGCAGGCCUAACACAUGCAAGUCGAACGGUAACAGGAAGAAGCUUGCUUCUUUGCUGACGAGUGGCGGACGGGUGAGUAAUGUCUGGGAAACUGCCUGAUGGAGGGGGAUAACUACUGGAAACGGUAGCUAAUACCGCAUAACGUCGCAAGACCAAAGAGGGGGACCUUAGGGCCUCUUGCCAUCGGAUGUGCCCAGAUGGGAUUAGCUAGUAGGUGGGGUAAAGGCUCACCUAGGCGACGAUCCCUAGCUGGUCUGAGAGGAUGACCAGCCACACUGGAACUGAGACACGGUCCAGACUCCUACGGGAGGCAGCAGUGGGGAAUAUUGCACAAUGGGCGCAAGCCUGAUGCAGCCAUGCCGCGUGUAUGAAGAAGGCCUUCGGGUUGUAAAGUACUUUCAGCGGGGAGGAAGGUGUUGUGGUUAAUAACCACAGCAAUUGACGUUACCCGCAGAAGAAGCACCGGCUAACUCCGUGCCAGCAGCCGCGGUAAUACGGAGGGUGCAAGCGUUAAUCGGAAUUACUGGGCGUAAAGCGCACGCAGGCGGUCUGUCAAGUCGGAUGUGAAAUCCCCGGGCUCAACCUGGGAACUGCAUUCGAAACUGGCAGGCUUGAGUCUCGUAGAGGGGGGUAGAAUUCCAGUGUAGCGGUGAAAUGCGUAGAGAUCUGGAGGAAUACUCGGUGGCGAAGGCGGCCCCUGGACGAAGACUGACGCUCAGGUGCGAAAGCGUGGGGGAGCAAACAGGAUUAGAUACCCUGGUAGUCCACGCCGUAAACGAUGUCUAUUUGGAGGUUGUGCCCUUGAGGUGUGGCUUCCGGAGCUAACGCGUUAAAUAGACCGCCUGGGGAGUACGGCCGCAAGGUUAAAACUCAAAUGAAUUGACGGGGGCCCGCACAAGCGGUGGAGCAUGUGGUUUAAUUCGAUGCAACGCGAAGAACCUUACCUGGUCUGGACAUCCACAGAACUUUCCAGAGAUGGAGGGGUGCCUUCGGGAACUGUGAGACAGGUGCUGCAUGGCUGUCGUCAGCUCGUGUUGUGAAAUGUUGGGUUAAGUCCCGCAACGAGCGCAACCCUUAUCCUUUGUUGCCAGCGGUUAGGCCGGGAACUCAAAGGAGACUGCCAGUGAUAAACUGGAGGAAGGUGGGGAUGACGUCAAGUCAUCAUGGCCCUUACGACCAGGGCUACACACGUGCUACAAUGGCGCAUACAAAGAGAAGCGAACUCGCGAGAGCAAGCGGACCUCAUAAAGUGCGUCGUAGUCCGGACUGGAGUCUGCAACUCGACUCCAUGAAGUCGGAAUCGCUAGUAAUCGUGGAUCAGAAUGCCACGGUGAAUACGUUCCCGGGCCUUGUACACACCGCC